rnacentral:lncRNA from 1 species
AUUGUAUUUUGAAUUUGACAAAAUGGAAUGGAAUUUCCGUAUUUCCAUAUGGAAAUAUGCAUUACAUUAAUUUAUAUUUACCUAUUUUAUUAACUUUCAUGGUGGAAGUAUCAUUUCCCAGAAUUUGCUGCAUAUAAUCAGUAUCAUGUGUCAUUUCAAUUCUAAUUUAAGUUCAACUGUUGUGUUGUUGUCCAGUUCAAUUUUAAUUCACACUCAGAGCGAUCAACUCUGGCGAACAUUAACCAUCUGAAGUGAUGGCUAUCAUUUCAUAAGCAUUUUUUUUUUCUGUUCAUCUAGUCCUUGUAUCUGAUGAAAUUCCUUUUUUCUUUCGGAAGAGUCAGUCAGGUAGCCAUUGAACAUGGACAUCAAUGUAAGUUUUAUUGACAGCUCGAUUGAACUCUGCCCCUGGUCUUCAAGAUUUUCCUAACUUUGAAUGAGGAAGCGGCCAUUCAAACUACACUGACCACAAAAACUAUUCUGAGGCCUCGGUCUUCCCAAGCUCAAUAAUAUCAUUGUCAAACCGAAUUUCCAGACCGCUGCGGCUCCUGAAUCCUCAUCGAGGAGGCAUGCGAUCCAAAUAGCGCUUGAAAAGUGUUGGAGGCCGGUUAAACCUCAGAGAGGUGUGGUGCUGCUUGCGUUUGCACAAACAAUGGAGUGAAGAGUGUUGUGUGGGAUUAGAGCACAUUGUCAACGGUUUAGUAGGUUGUUCAGUGUUUUCCUGAGCUGAGCUGCACACGCAGCCUCGUCUUCUCCUGCGAGUUGGAGCCAGAUCUGCUGGUUUGGAAGGGGGUUGUGGGUGUGUAUGUGACACAUCAUUGGCUUGGGCUGCACAUACAAUCAGUCUCAUCAUUGUAAACCAGCAUGUAACCACGCAUUGGGCUGAUAACUACAUCCAACACACAAUUCCUUCAUGUUCUUUUUCUUGGAGUAACAAGCCAAUGCGUGCAGAUUUCCAGCAGUCUUUUGUAGACGAAAGUGUUUCUUCUAGUUCAUUGGGCAUUGGUGAAGGCACACAGCCGGCAUGUUUCAAACACAAAACCUGAUGUGUUGAUUACAAUCCAGAGAAGAUCGUUCCACAAAGCUAUCAUUACCCGGUGCCAUCUGCAAGAGGGAGUUGCAUUUUUGUGCUGCACGGAAUGGAAAAGCCUACAUCAGUUUUUCCAGCAUUUGUUUCUUCAAAAUAAAGCAUCAGGUUUUGACAGUCGAGCUCCAUUGAGGAAUUCUGGGUUGUUUCCUGGAUGCAGAAUAAGCAUAGUCCAUAAGACAUCUGUUGGAGGAG